GGGGCCCCGCCGGUGAAGCCCCUUCGCCUGCAGAGGGAUGCGCUCGGAGGCGGUGCCGCAGCCCGGCGGCCUGGAGAGGUUCGCCAGUCCCGGCAAGGGCCGGGGGCUGAGGGCUCUGAGGCGCUACGCUGUGGGAGAGCUGCUCUUCAGCUGCCCGGCCUACACCGCCGUGCUGACCGUCAGCGAGCGCGGCAGCCACUGCGACGGCUGCUUCGCCAGGAAAGAAGGACUGUCCAAGUGUGGAAGAUGUAAGCAGGCUUUUUACUGCAAUGUGGAAUGUCAGAAGGAAGACUGGCCAAUGCAUAAGCUAGAAUGUUCUGCCAUGUGCGCUUUUGGGCAGAACUGGAAUCCCUCGGAGACGGUGAGGCUAACAGCGAGGAUUCUUGCCAAACAGAAAAUUCACCCUGAUAGAACGCAGUCAGAGAAGCUGCUUGCUGUAAAAGAGUUUGAAUCACACCUUGACAAACUAGACAAUGAAAAGAGAGAGCUGAUUCAGAACGACAUUGCUGCUCUUCAUCACUUUUAUUCAAAGCACAUGGAGUACCCUGACAAUGCUGCUCUUGUAGUUCUCUUUGCACAAGUUAACUGCAAUGGCUUCACGAUUGAAGAUGAAGAACUCUCUCAUUUGGGAUCAGCCAUAUUUCCUGAUGUUGCACUGAUGAACCAUAGCUGCUGCCCAAAUGUGAUUGUGACUUACAAAGGGACGCUGGCUGAAGUCAGAGCUGUUAAAGAGAUUGAGCCUGGAGAGGAGGUUUUUACCAGCUAUAUUGACCUGUUGUAUCCCACAGAAGACAGAAAUGACAGGUUAAGAGACUCCUAUUUCUUCACUUGUGAUUGCAGGGAGUGCACUAUGAAGGAAAAGGAUAAAGAGAAACUGAAAAUCCGCAAGCUGAAUGAUCCUCCAUCAGCAGAGGUGGUACGAGACAUGAUCAAAUAUGCCAGGAACGUGAUUGAGGAAUUCAGACGAGCCAAACACUACAAAUCUCCCAGUGAAUUACUGGAGAUCUGUGAGCUCAGCCUGGAUAAGAUGGGUACAGUGUUUGAAGACAGUAAUGUCUACAUGUUGCAUAUGAUGUACCAGGCCAUGGGUGUCUGUCUCUACGUGCAGGACUGGGAAGGUGCACUGCGUUAUGGGCAAAAAAUUAUCAGACCAUACAGUAAGCAUUAUCCCUCCUACUCGCUGAAUGUUGCCUCCAUGUGGCUGAAAUUAGGGAGACUGUACAUGGCACUGGAGAACAGACCAGCUGGAGAUAAAGCCCUGAAGAAGGCAAUUGCCAUCAUGGAAGUAGCGCACGGGAAAGAUCAUCCAUACAUUUCAGAGAUCAAAAAGGAAUUAGAGGACCACUGAGCCUUUGAACCUAUGCAAUCCUUCAAACCUUUAUUUAAACAGCCUUGUUAUGGAAACCUUCAGGAGCUCUUUGAAAAGCGUGACUUAGCUGAGAGAAAGGAGAAAAGGGGCCGAUGAAUUCUGUGCGUCGUGUAGGAAAGCCACCACCUUUCCCUCAGCAGUUCAGCUGCAGGCCCAUCACUGCUCCUAGCAGGAGACUGCUGGAAAGUUGGCUGCUGUGAGCACUGUAUGGUUUCAAACUGCUGAAUUUUCCCCACAGAUGCCUGCUGCCCAGGUGACAUUCAACUCUGUCUGUCAGCUUGAAAUUGCACUUUCACAUUGAGAUACUGCGUAGAUGUCACCUCUUCAGACUUAAGAAUUGACUACCAGCUUACAGAAGGCUGCAGUUCCCAUACAGUCAAAAAGUGAAGGUAAAUGGGAUGAAAUGCUUUAAUCAUUCUCCCUCUAUCUUUCCAUUUAUUGAAGGAGGAAACCAGCUGCCUAAUUUCUAGGCAGCAACACUUAGGGCAGGGGGAAGUCCAUUUCACUUCCAAAUUUUGUUUCUAGCCUGAGAGAAUUUCAGGUUCUUUUAUUUAGUGAAGCUUAUGCUCAAGCUCUGCACUCACAAAAUUGCUUGCCUAAAAAAGCCUUAAUCUUAGGUGGUGGUAGUUUUUCUUUUCUUUUUUCCUCCACUUCUUCUAAUCCAUUCUCCCAGAUGGACUCAAUGUCAUGAGUUACAAGUGUUUGGCAUUUAUCACCACAGCUCCUAAUGCCAUCAGUGACUUAAAAACACUUCCCUCAGCAUUCAAAUUAUUUGCUAGUUUCCCAUUUAAAUUUUAAACAGUUUCACAGCACAGCCCCUGGAGGACAUUUUGAGAACUGAUUCACAGUUCACUUCAGUCUAAUAGUCAGUUAUUGUAAAUUCAUAUUCUCUUGAGCAAAGAUUGCAUGAUUUGUUCUGUGGCACAGCCUUAUUACAUCAGCAGUUUUCAUAUUCCCUUGUUUUGCCAUGUUACCAAUAGUGCAGUACAGUUAAUACGCAACAUUCUAAAGAGAUGCAAAUUGUUUUUUGAUUCAAGUAAGUACACUUUUUUGUUGACAUCUCCUCUCAGUGGAGACUUAACAGAAAGUGAAAAAGGGCUAGAUUUCUAUAGCAUUUAUUCAUUCAGCUACAGUGGAGUAUAUUGCAGAGCAAAGUUUAUUUCCGACAUUAAUAAUUUAAUGCUCGUGC